rnacentral:rRNA from 1 species
GAUGGACGCUGGCGGCGUGCCUAACACAUGCAAGUCGAGCGAUUUACUUCGGCAAAGAGCGGCGGACGGGUGUGUAACGCGUGGGUAACCUGCCCUGUACACACGGAUAACAUACCGAAAGGUAUGCUAAUACGAGAUAAUAUACUUUUAUCGCAUGGUAGAAGUAUCAAAGCUCUGGCGGUACAGGAUGGACCCGCGUCUGAUUAGCUAGUUGGUAAGGUAACGGCUUACCAAGGCGACGAUCAGUAGCCGACCUGAGAGGGUGAGCGGCCACAUUGGAACUAAGACACGGUCCAAACUCCUACGGGAGUCAGCAGUGGGGAAUAUUGCACAAUGGGCGAAAGCCUGAUGCAGCAACGCCGCGUGAGCGAUGAAGGCCUUCGGGUCGUAAAGCUCUGUCCUCAAGGAAGAUAAUGACGGUACUUGAGGAGGAAGCCCCGGCUAACUACGUGCCAGCCGCCGCCGUAA